UACGUAGGGUGCAAGCGUUAAUCGGAAUUACUGGGCGUAAAGCGUGCGCAGGCGGUUGUGCAAGACGGAUGUGAAAUCCCCGGGCUUAACCUGGGAAUUGCAUUUGUGACUGCACGGCUAGAGUGUGUCAGAGGGGGGUAGAAUUCCACGUGUAGCAGUGAAAUGCGUAGAUAUGUGGAGGAAUACCGAUGGCGAAGGCAGCCCCCUGGGAUAACACUGACGCUCAUGCACGAAAGCGUGGGGAGCAAACAGG
rnacentral:rRNA from 1 species